AAGCGAUCUGAUUGGUUGCUAUGGGCAACUGGGCGACGUUGCCUCUCCACAGAAAGAGCGGAUUCAUUUCAGUAAAGUCAAUAGUAUCAUAAUCACAGCCAUGUUCAUUUGAUGUGGUCUCAGGGUGCACUGACAUUGCUUGGCAUAUGAGGUGUCGGAUAUCCUUGAACAGUAAAGAAAAGCUUCACAGGCAUGCCUUCCCAAACAGUAUGUGAUCUGAGACGGACCAAUAUAUCUGGGGCACGGCUUACACAUUCUUCAUGGAUUUGCCUCUGUAAUGCCAACUUUUCAUCAACCUAAUAAAAGAAAACACAGUAAAGCUGGUGAUAAAUCUA